rnacentral:rRNA from 1 species
GACGAACGCUGGCGGCGUGCUUAACACAUGCCAGUCGAACGGAAAGGCCUGCUUUCCCUUGUGGAUUGCGGGUACUCGAGUGGCGAACGGGUGAGUAACACGUGAGUGAUCUGCCCCCAACUUGGGUAUAAGCCUGGGAAACUGGGUCUAAUUCCCGAUAGGACUGCAGGGUGGUGCCUGUGGUGGAAAACGAUUUUCUAGUGGUUGGGGAUGAGCUCGCGGCCUAUCAGCUUGUUGGUGGGGUAAUGGCCUACCAAGGCGGCGACGGGUAGCCGGCCUGAGAGGGUGGACGGCGACAUUGAGACUGGGAUACGGCCCAGACUCCUACGGGAGGCAGCAGUGGGGAGUAGUGGAGAGUGGGCGGAAGCCUGAUGCAGCGAGGCCGCGUGGGGGAUGACGGGCUUCGGGUUGUAAACUCCUUUCGACCGCGAGGAAGCCACCUGGUUGGAAGGGUGGUGACGGUAGUGGUAGAAGAAGCACCGGCUAACUACGUG